UAAAAUUUAUAAAAUUAGGUAGUAAAGAAAUUUCUGAAACCUAAAGAAUUUGGCGGUAUUUUAGAUAAUUGGAGGAACCUGUUAUUUAAUUGACAACCCACAACACAUCUUACCUAAAUUUUAUUUGUAUAUCGUCGUUUUGAUAAUAUUUAAAAAUAAUAAUCAAGUUUAAUAAAUUUUUAAAAUUCAGAUCAAGGUGCAGUAUAUUUAGGUUAUAAUGGGUUACAAUAUAUUUAUAUAUAACGAAUAUAAGAUUGAAAUUAUGUUGAAGGUGGAUUCAAAAGUAAAAUUGAACUAAAAAGUUAAUUUGAUUAAUAAUUUAAAAUAUGC
rnacentral:rRNA from 1 species